UCCUCAGACUUGCUUCCCUCCUCCUUUCUCACUGUAGAAAAACAGGAAGAGAUGUUUAUUAAUAAGACUGACUGGGGUCAUGCCUAAAACGAUAUCAGAUUUUUAUCUCUCUUGGGUUUAGGAAUGGUUCUAGGAUCAAGGACUAUAC
rfam:Pteropus vampyrus cont1.140996, whole genome shotgun sequence.